GGGGGCGUCAGGGUUCGACAGAACACGACUGGCGCUCAGUGGCGAGCCGAGGUGCGGAGGGCCUCGUAAAAAAUCCGCAAACAAGAAGUGCGACUCCUAACUAUGCUCUUGCUGCCUAAUUGAAGGCAGCCGCCGCUCUCCUCGCGGUCGGUCCGAGGGGAGUUGAGCGUGGGCCAGACCGACUGGCUCCGAAGGCGGCGCCCAGCGCCGACGGAGGACACCCAACUGGGCUGGCGACGGGAUGCCCUGUCCGUCGGGACACCCGCCGCGAGACCUAAAGACGGACUACGCUCGUAGAAGCUGGGUGUGCAGGUGUUCUGGAAGGGGGUUCAAUUCCCCCCGCCUCCACCA
rfam:Armatimonadetes bacterium DC isolate DC genome assembly, contig: DCOP10_120